AGUGAACGCUGGCGGUAGGCCUAACACAUGCAAGUCGAACGGCAGCACAGUAAGAGCUUGCUCUUACGGGUGGCGAGUGGCGGACGGGUGAGGAAUAAAUCGGAAUCUACUUUUUCGUGGGGGAUAACGUAGGGAAACUUACGCUAAUACCUCAUACGACCUACGGGUGAAAGCAGGGGAUCUUCGGACCUUGCGCGAUUGAAUGAGCCGAUGUCGGAUUAGCUAGUUGGCGGGGUAAAGGCCCACCAAGGCGACGAUCCGUAGCUGGUCUGAGAGGAUGAUCAGCCACACUGGAACUGAGACACGGUCCAGACUCCUACGGGAGGCAGCAGUGGGGAAUAUUGGACAAUGGGCGCAAGCCUGAUCCAGCCAUACCGCGUGGGUGAAGAAGGCCUUCGGGUUGUAAAGCCCUUUUGUUGGGAAAGAAAAGCAGCAGGUUAAUACCCCGCUGUUCUGACGGUACCCAAAGAAUAAGCACCGGCUAACUUCGUG
rnacentral:rRNA from 1 species